rnacentral:lncRNA from 1 species
UCCUUUACAUUUACAAAAUAGCUCAAAUAAAUUAUUUUCAAGUCGCCUUCCCACCCACUGGUCCAGCCUAGUCUGGGAUGACUACAUCUUUUGAACAGGCUUGAUUUACAUCAUCUGCAUCUAAAAAUAGAGAAAGCAAGGAUGAGUACGACAAGUCAUACUCAGCAAGCAGAUACUUCACUAUUCAACAAGAGUAGAAUUUAAGGAUAUUGAUACAGUAACAACGGGUUGACUAUAUCUAAAGGAGCAUAAAUAACGUGACAAUUUGCUGGAGCCAAUUUAAUUGGAAAUAGGUAAAAGAACAACAUAACCGGAUAUAAUGAAAAUGGACCAAGAAAUUAUUGGCGUCACACAUGACCGCAAGCUUCCCAACCCGGGAGUCACAGGGGUGAAAUUUCACACUUUUACGCUCUUAAGAGAGGUACUCCGACGUCGACAGUCUCAACUAGAACCACACAGGCGCUAGUAGAGCAGAGCUCUUGUACCCACUAAGACUCGAACACCUGAACCUACUGAUGUCGAUCGCUCCCAUGGAUCCAUCAUCGACACGUUCCCGAACAAGGUCCGUCCUUAGUGGAGAACUCAGACAGUCCCAUACCUGAACUGUGACCGGUACAAUACGUUUGCCGUCGUGACACCAAUAUAGAUGGACAGAAUAUGACAUGGGGCUGGAUUAGCUAUAUAGGAUCACUGAAAUAUCAGCCAAGACAAUAAAACCAUGCCUUUACAUGAGUUCCUCUCGUAUCAGACUUUCCAUCAACAAAUGGAUCAUCAAGGACAACAUGUCCUUCAACAAAUGGAUUAUCAAAGACAACAUGUCCUCAAAUAAAACAGGAAUCAACAGAGGAUAAAUAAGAUUCAAGGUCUAGUAACAUAAUCAGAACGAUGAUCACAGGAGACAACAAUAAGAUAGGAUUCAAGAAGUUAGCAAAGUAACCACUUGCCUCGGAUAAUAUGAUUUGUCCUUUAGAAUAAUAUUCUGCCAGAAGAUGAAACUCCAAUACUCCAUCAUCUUUGUAUAGAAUCUGACGAACACACAUAUACUAAUAUUCUUCUGACGUAUGGCUCCGUUCUUCCCUCUAGCAGCAUCUACACGAUCUAUAUAUCUUCAAACAUGGACACAUGCAUACUUGUAUUCUUCAUCUCUCUUCUCUUCGCUCUCUCUCCGCUGGUAUGCUCUAUUUCUCUCAUGCUCUCACUCUUGGUGAUGAGGAUGUGCAAAACGAGUAGCAGCAGCUAUUUAUAGAUGGUGAGCCCAGAGUGAACUCAGCCGAGCUAUUCUUGAAGCACACGAUCAUCUGGACUCUACCUAUUACGUGGCAAGCAUGCAUUGGUGUACGUGGAGAACCUGGUAAAAGAUCAAGCCGCAAUGGCCUUUGACCCUUGCCCCUUGACCCUUCGAACUGCUGCCCCUUUUGCUUGUGCAAAAGCCAAACAAACCUGACCACUAUACAAAACCUCCACGUAGAAAUUUCUUGGUCCUAAAUAUCUAAGGGUGCUGCCAGCACAACCUAGCUUCAUCUAGUACCAGGCCACGUUGGCCCUCUCAUGCAUAGGAUUUUACUUAGCUUGUAAGCAUAGUACAUACGUGUGCAUUCUCAUCAUUACAUGCAUGCACAUCUUCUAGUAUUUGGCCAUCUUCUCAUUACUAGCUAGCCUGUACUACCCACUAAUUUGUAUUACUUUGCAUGCUAAUGCCUUAACGUGAGUGCAUGGAUGCUAGUCUAUGUGCAUAUAUACAUACUUACUUAGUGUGUAAUUAUAUCCAUCUAAUAUUUUAUGCAUGCAAAAAUUACAGUUCUAUUUUAAUCACUUGAAUCAAUAAUCUAGCAUAUCUUAUUUGCUCAAAUAUUUUAUGUUAAACAUAUAAUAGAAAUUUAAUUACUCAUCUUAAUUUAAAUUAAUAACCCUAAAAAAUCAGGGUUAUUACAUCCUUCCCACCUUAUAAGAAUUUCGUCCCCGAAAUUCAUUUCCACUAUUUUGUUAGUGGCCAAAUAUCCUCCGAUAAUAAUUGAGAUAGCUUAUUUGAUGUGUGCUGAAUAAUUAAUUAAUAAAAUGCAAACAUGAUUUGCAAUCUUUUCUCCUUUUCAUGGAUAUAUCUGCUAUAACAUAAGUUGGCAACACUAGUCAUUUUAUUUGGUAAGGUCAUUAUCAAAAAGGAUAGAUGGUGGUAUAGUAAUUGUCCCAUUAUUAGAUAAAUAUCACCAGUUGUCUUAAACAAGAAAAUCUACACAAAUAACAAGUCAUGAGUCAACAAAAUGUCUAUUUAUUUCCCAUGCAUCCUCAAAUUUCACCAAUAAUAUGUACGCUAUAUUUUUAUUUGCCUGGAUAUCUGCCAAAAAUAUUUGUGAGUAACAACACACAAACAAGUUGAGACAAGGUAUGAAAAUAAAAUCUUCAUACCUGUCACACAACACAAAUAUAUUCGACGAUCUACCCGUUUAUCCCAACGCAACCUAAAACCUAGAGCUUUGAUACCACUUUAACUGUCACGCCCCGAGACCGGGCCUAGGCGAGACAGCUGACGCGCGCCUAUAGACCAGGGGCCUAUAGUCACGCAAGGCGUGAUUAAGCAGGCAUAAACCAACAGUGGAUCACAAAAGCUCAUAUAUCUACUUUACAAGUCCUUUACAUUUACAAAAUGGCUCAAAUAAAUUAUUUUCAAGUCGCCUUCCCACCCACUGGUCCAGCCUAGUCUGGGAUGACUACAUCUUUUGAACAGGCUUGAGUUACAUCGUCUGUAUCUAAAAAUAGAGAAAGCAGGGAUGAGUACGACAAGUCAUACUCAGCAAGCAGAUACUUCACUAUUCAACAAGAGUAGAAUUUAAGGAUAUUGAUACAGUAACAGCGGGUUGACUAUAUCUAAAGGAGCAUAAAUAACGUGACAAUUUGCUGGAGACAAUUUAAUUGGAAAUAGGUAAAAGAACAACAUAACCGGAUAUAAUGAAAAUGGACCAAGAAAUUAUUGGCGUCACACAUGACCGCAAGCUUCCCAACCCGGGAGUCACAGGGGUGAAAUUUCACACUUUUACGCUCUUAAGAGGGGUACUCCAACGUCGACAGUCUCAACUAGAACCACACAGGCGCUAGUAGAGCAGAGCUCUUGUACCCACUAAGACUCGAACACCUAAACCUACUGAUGUCGAUCGCUCCUAUGGAUCCAUCACCGACACGUUCCCGAACAAGGUCCGUCCUUAGUGGAGAACUCAGACAGUCCCAUACCUGAACUGUGACCGGUACAAUACGUUUGCCGUCGUGACACCAAUAUAGAUGGACAGAAUAUGACAUGGGGCUGGAUCAGCUAUAUAGGAUCACUGAAAUAUCAGCCAAGACAAUAAACCCAUGCCUUUACAUGAGUUCCUCUCGUAUCAGACUUUCCAUCAACAAAUGGAUCAUCAAGGACAACAUAUCCUUCAACAAAUGGAUUAUCAAAGACAACAUGUCCUCAAAUAAAACAGGAAUCAACAGAGGAUAAAUAAGAUUCAAGGUCUAGCAACAUAAUCAGAACGAUGAUCAGAGGAGACAACAAUAAGAUAGGAUUCAAGAAGUUAGCAAAGUAACCACUUGCCUCGGAUAAUAUGAUUUGUCCUUUAGAAUAAUAUUCUGCCAGAAGAUUAAACUCCAAUACUCCAUCAUCUUUGUAUAGAAUCUGACAAACACGCAUAUACUAAUAUUCUUCUCACGUAUGGCUCCGUUCUUCCCUCCAGCAGCAUCUACACGAUCUAUAUAUCUUCAAACAUGGACGCAUGCAUACUUGUAUUCUUCAUCUCUCUUCUCUUCGCUCUCUCUCCGCUGGUAUGCUCUAUUUCUCUCAUGCUCUCACUCUUGGUGAUGAGGAUGUGCAAAACGAGUAGCAGCAGCUAUUUAUAGAUGGUGAGCCCAGAGUGAACUCAGCCGAGCUGUUCUUGAAGCACACGAUCAUCUGGACACUACCUAUUAUGUGGCAAGCAUGCAUUGGUCUACGUGGAGAACCUGGUAAAAGAUCAAGCCGCAAUGGCCUUUGACCCUUGCCCCUUGACCCUUCGAACUGCUGCCCCUUUUGCUUGUGCAAAAGCCAAACAAACCUGACCACUAUACAAAACCUCCACGUAGAAAUUUCUUGGUCCUAAAUAUCUAAGGGUGCUGCCAGCACAACCUAGCUUCAUCUAGUACCAGGCCACGUUGGCCCUCUCAUGCAUAGGAUUUUACUUAGCUUGUAAGCAUAGUACAUACGUGUGCAUUCUCAUCAUUACAUGCAUGCACAUCUUCUAGUAUUUGGCCAUCUUCUCAUUACUAGCUAGCCUGUACUACCCACUAAUUUGUAUUACUUUGCAUGCUAAUGCCAUAACGUGAGUGCAUCGAUGCUAGUCUAUGUGCACAUAUACAUACUUACUUAGUGUGUAAUUAUAUCCAUCUAAUAUUUUAUGCAUGCAAAAAUUACAGUUCUAUUUUAAUCACUUGAAUCAAUAAUCUAGCAUAUCUUAUUUGCUCAAAUAUUUUAUGUUAAACAUAUAAUAGAAAUUUAAUUACACAUCUUAAUUUAAAUUAAUAACCCUAAAAAAUCAGGGUUAUUACAUCCUUCCCACCUUAUAAGAAUUUCGUCCCCAAAAUUCAUUUCCACUAUUUUGUUAGUGGCCAAAUAUCCUCCGAUAAUAAUUGAGAUAGCUUAUUUGAUGUGUGCUGAAUAAUUAAUUAAUAAAAUGCAAACAUGAUUUGCAAUCUUUUCUCCUUUUCAUGGAUAUAUCUACUAUAACAUAAGUUGGCAACACUAGUCAUUUUAGUUGGUAAGGUCAUUAUCAAAAAGGAUAGAUGGUGGUAUAGCAAUUGUCCCAUUACUAGAUAAAUAUCACCAGUUGUCUUAAACAAGAAAAUCUACACAAAUAACAAGUCAUGAGUCAACAAAAUGUCUAUUUAUUUCCCAUGCAUCCUCAAAUUUCAUCAAUAAUAUGUACGCUAUAUUUUUAUUUGCCUGGAUAUCUGCCAAAAAUAUUUGUGAGUAACAACACACAAACAAGUUGAGACAAGGUAUGAAAAUAAAAUCUUCAUACCUGUCACACAACACAAAUAUAUUCGACGAUCUACCCGUUUAUCCCAACGCAACCUAAAACCUAGAGCUCUGAUACCACUUUAACUGUCAUGCCCCGAGACCGGGCCUAGGCGAGAUAGCCGCCGCGCGCCUAUAGACCAGGGGCCUAUAGUCACGCAAGGCGUGAUUAAGCAGGCAUAAACCAACAAUGGAUCACAAAAGCUCAUAUAUUUACUUUACAAGUCCUUUACAUUUACAAAUUGGCUCGAAUAAAUUAUUUUCUAGUCUCCUUCCCACCCACUGGUCCAUCCUAGUCUGGGAUGACUACAUAUUUUGAACAGGCUUGAGUUACAUCGUCUGUAUCUAAAAAUAGAGAAAGCAAGGAUGAGUACGACAAGUCAUACUCAGCAAGCAGAUACUUCACUAUUCAACAAGAGUAGAAUUUAAGGAUAUUGAAACAGUAACAAUGGGUUGACUAUAUCUAAAGGAGCAUAAAUAACGUGACAAUUUGCUGGAGCCAAUUUAAUUGGAAAUAGGUAAAAGAACAACAUAACCGGAUAUAAUGAAAAUCGACCAAGAAAUUAUUGGCGUUACACAUGACCGCAAGCUUCCCAACCCGGGAGUCACUGGGGUGAAAUUUCACACUUUUACGCUCUUAAGAGGGGUACUCCGACGUCGACAGUCUCAACUAGAACCACACAGGCGCUAGUAGAGCAGAGCUCUUGUACCAACUAAGACUCGAACACCUGAACCUACUGAUGUCGAUCGCUCCGAUGGAUCCAUCACCGACACGUUCCUGAACAAGGUCCGUCCUUAGUGGAGAACUCAUACAAUCCCAUACCUGAACUGUGACCGGUACAAUACGUUUGCCGUCGUGACACCAAUAUAGAUGGACAAAAUAUGACAUGGGGCUGGAUCAGCUAUAUAGGAUCACUGAAAUAUCAGCCAAGACAAUAAACCCAUGCCUUUACAUGAGUUCCUCUUGUAUCAGACUUUCCAUCAACAAAUGGAUCAUCAAGGACAACAUAUCCUUCAACAAAUGGAUUAUCAAAGACAACAUGUCCUCAAAUAAAACAGGAAUCUACAGAGGAUAAAUAAGAUUCAAGGUCUAGCAACAUAAUUAGAACGAUGAUCACAGGAGACAACAAUAAGAUAGGAUUCAAGAAGUUAGCAAAGUAACCACUUGCCUUGGAUAAUAUGAUUUGUCCUUUAGAAUAAUAUUCUGCCAGAAGAUUAAACUCCAAUACUCCAUCAUCUUUGUAUAGAAUCUGACGAACACGCAUAUACUAAUAUUCUUCUGACGUAUGGCUCCGUUCUCCCCUCCAGCAGCAUCUACACGAUCUAUAUAUCUUCAAACAUGGACGCAUGCAUACUUGUAUUCUUCAUCUCUCUUCUCUUCGCUCUCUCUCGGCUGGUAUGCUCUAUUUCUCUCAUGCUCUCACUCUUGGUGA